CAGCCGCCGCGGUAAUACGUAGGUGGCAAGCGUUGUCCGGAAUUAUUGGGCGUAAAGGGCUCGCAGGCGGUUUCUUAAGUCUGAUGUGAAAGCCCCCGGCUCAACCGGGGAGGGUCAUUGGAAACUGGGAAACUUGAGUGCAGAAGAGGAGAGUGGAAUUCCACGUGUAGCGGUGAAAUGCGUAGAGAUGUGGAGGAGCACCAGUGGCGAAGGCGACUCUCUGGUCUGUAACUGACGCUGAGGCUCGAAAGCGUGGGGAGCAAACAGGAUUAGAUACCCCGGUAGUCCCUGUCUCUUAUAC
rnacentral:rRNA from 1 species